UGAAUUUACCAAAUUCUGAAUCUGUAGGUAAGAUGAUGAAAAUUGCAAGUGAACCUAAACUGGACACAGUAGUAGUGUAUCCGGAACAGAGUCUAUUGAUUAUACCAUAACUAAUUACGUACUCAGUGAAAUUUGUUAAGACCAGUGCCAAAUGAAUCAUAAGAAGUAUACCUAAAACUUUGUCGAAGACACUUAAGCUUUAAUUUGUAUGGAAAU
rnacentral:lncRNA from 1 species